ensembl:lncRNA
UAGAGUUUCGCGCGGGAAGAUAGAGCGGUCCUGCCCUCAGCCACCAUCUUGUUUAAAACCCUGGUCCGUGUUGGUCCCAGUAGUUUCCACAGAGGCCUUUCUACUUCUGAUUCCUAAGAUGUAGAGACUUACACGGUAUUUCUCUUUUUCCUCCACCUAGUCUCCGCCGUCUCCAGAGCAGUCGUCUACAAGCAAACCUAGAAAAAGUUCACUGUAAUGAAGAGUGGGGUAUCAGAUUUCACUGACGUUCUUUAAGUCCUAGGAGGUGUCCGCGAAGCCAGAAACAUGCUCUCCCUCGGAAUGAGUUUACCUGGCCCUCGUUCUAGGGAAAAAAGCUGCUGCUUUUCCUGAAAGGUUAUAAUCUUACCUCUCCAGUUCCAGGAUUUUCAGCACUACCUGUAUGCCUUCAUUGCUUCAGUAAGCUAAGUGGACAACAGAAUUGUGUAACAAGACAAGCAACUAAGCUGGGCUUGGAAUCUGGUUGUUUUGUUUGAGAUGUGACCUGCUAGAUGGAAACUGCAAACACUCGUUUGAAUGAAUACAUUUAUGUAGCAUAUAAUAUCAUCACCCCCAGCUCUUCCUACUCAGUUUUCUGUGUUUUAUGGCAUUUGCUUUGAGAGAGAGAAAACAACAACAACAGUCUUCCUGAGAGUAUUGUUUAAAAGUCCAAUUUCUGCUCUUGUCAAAGAUGUAUUACAUGACCCAACAAUUCCAGUCCUAGGUAUCUACCUCCCUCCAAAAUUAAAAACAGGUGGAAACAACCCAAACAUCCGUCAACAGAUGAAUGAGUAAAUUGUGGCAUGUGUGUGUAAUGGACUAUGAAUCGCCAAAAGGAAUGAAGUGUUAAUGCAUGCUCCAGCUCGAUGAACUUUGAAAACAUUUUGCUAAGAAGCCAAAAAAGGUCACAUGCUUUAUGCUUUCAUUGAUAAGAGAUAUUCAGAGUAGGUAAGUACAUAGAAACAAAAAGCAGACUGGCGGCUUCUCUUGCGAAAAAGUGAGUUAAAGAUGCGGCACCGUCCCUGUAGGGACUCAGGUCGCUGCUGUGGUGUGAGUUGGAUCCUUGGCCAGGGAACUUCCACAUGCCGCGGAUGCAGCCAAAAAGGG